rnacentral:rRNA from 1 species
UACGAAGGGGGCUAGCGUUGUUCGGAUUUACUGGGCGUAAAGCGCACGUAGGCGGAUUGUUAAGUCAGGGGUGAAAUCCUGGAGCUCAACUCCAGAACUGCCUUUGAUACUGGCAAUCUAGAGUCCGGAAGAGGUGAGUGGAACUCCUAGUGUAGAGGUGGAAUUCGUAGAUAUUAGGAGGAACACCGGUGGCGAAGGCGGGACUCUGGGCCGAUACUGACGCUGAGGAGCGAAAGCGUGGGGAGCAAACAGG